UAGGGAAUCUUCGGCAAUGGGGGCAACCCUGACCGAGCAACGCCGCGUGAGUGAAGAAGGUUUUCGGAUCGUAAAGCUCUGUUGUAAGAGAAGAACGUGUGUGAGAGUGGAAAGUUCACACAGUGACGGUAACUUACCAGAAAGGGACGGCUAACUACGUGCCAGCAGCCGCGGUAAUACGUAGGUCCCGAGCGUUGUCCGGAUUUAUUGGGCGUAAAGCGAGCGCAGGCGGUUUAAUAAGUCUGAAGUUAAAGGCAGUGGCUUAACCAUUGUUCGCUUUGGAAACAGUUAAACUUGAGUGCAGAAGGGGAGGGUGGAAUUCCUUGUGUAGCGGAGAAAUGCGUAGAUAUAUGGAGGAACACCGGUGGCGAAAGCGGCUCUCUGGUCUGUAACUGACGCUGAGGCUCGAAAGCGUGGGGAGCAAACAGG
rnacentral:rRNA from 1 species